rnacentral:lncRNA from 10 species
CACAGCAACUUGCUCUCCUGGCUGGCUUCCCGCACCACCUGCAGCGCCACCCCGCGGCCGCCCGUGGCCUGGGACUGUGAAUAUCCUGGACUUGUCAGGGUAGAUGGGCUAGGAUUCUAGAGCCUAGAAUCAAUGCAAUACUCCCUGGACCACUGCUUUGCUGUUGUUAAUCCUGCUGACCUCAACUUUCUAGGACUUCAGGCAGGCCAUUUUCCAUGGAUUUCAGCAGUUAUCUAGUGAGGGAGAAUGAGACAGCUAUAAAGAUACCAGCCACUGAACACUCCAUCAAGGGAUCCCACAGAAGACACAUCCCUCCAUUACUUGCUUCUUGGUUCAUACCAAAACCAGGGAACUAAAGAAUCAUCAAGGGCCCCUGGUGGUUGCUCUCAUGUGAGUGUCCAAAGCACUGGAGCAGUGUUGUCCAAUACAUUCUGUGAUGAUGCCGUGUAUACAGUGACGUGCCCUGUCUAUGCACUGACCAAUACAGUGUAGCUACUGUGCCCUUGGAAUGUGGCUGGUGGGACAGCAGAACCGAAGUUUUGGCUGUAAUCAUUUUAAUUAAUUAAAAUAAAAUUGCCACACAUG